rnacentral:rRNA from 1 species
UACGUAGGGUGCGAGCGUUGUCCGGAAUUACUGGGCGUAAAGAGCUCGUAGGCGGUGUGUCACGUCGGCCGUGAAAACCUGGGGCUCAACUCUGGGCGUGCGGUCGAUACGGGCAUCACUUGAGUUCGGCAGGGGAGACUGGAAUUCCUGGUGUAGCGGUGAAAUGCGCAGAUAUCAGGAGGAACACCGGUGGCGAAGGCGGGUCUCUGGGCCGAUACUGACGCUGAGGAGCGAAAGCAUGGGUAGCGAACAGG